CAGUCGCCACGGUAAAACGGAGGGGGCUAGCGUUGUUCGGAAUUACUGGGCGUAAAGCGCACGUAGGCGGCUUGGUAAGUUAGAGGUGAAAGCCCGGAGCUCAACUCCGGAAUUGCCUUUAAGACUGCCGAGCUAGCAGGUGAGAGAGGUAAGUGGAAUUCCGAGUGUAGAGGUGAAAUUCGUAGAUAUUCGGAAGAACACCAGUGGCGAAGGCGGCUUACUGGCUCAUACUGGACGCUGAGGUGCGAAAGCGUGGGGAGCAAACAGGAUUAGAUACCCCUGUAGUCCCUGUCUCUUAUAA
rnacentral:rRNA from 1 species